rnacentral:rRNA from 1 species
UACAGAGACCUCAAGCGUUAUCCGGAAUCAUUGGGCGUAAAGCGUACCGAUAGGUGGUUUGGUUAGUCUUGGGUGAAAUCCCGAAGCUCAACUUCGGGUUUGCUUAAGAUACUGCCAGACUAGAGGGGUAAAGAGGAGAUUGGAACGAACGGUGUAGUAGUGAAAUGCGUUGAUAUCGUUCGGAACACCGAAAGCGAAGGCAGAUCUCUGGGUACCUCCUGACACUGCUAGGACGAAAGCGUGGGUAGCGAAUGGG